AACACAUGCAGUCGAGCGGUAGCACAGAGAGCUUGCUCUCGGGUGACGAGCGGCGGACGGGUGAGUAAUGUCUGGGAAACUGCCUGAUGGAGGGGGAUAACUACUGGAAACGGUAGCUAAUACCGCAUAACGUCGCAAGACCAAAGUGGGGGACCUUCGGGCCUCAUGCCAUCAGAUGUGCCCAGAUGGGAUUAGCUAGUAGGUGGGGUAACGGCUCACCUAGGCGACGAUCCCUAGCUGGUCUGAGAGGAUGACCAGCCACACUGGAACUGAGACACGGUCCAGACUCCUACGGGAGGCAGCAGUGGGGAAUAUUGCACAAUGGGCGCAAGCCUGAUGCAGCCAUGCCGCGUGUGUGAAGAAGGCCUUCGGGUUGUAAAGCACUUUCAGCGGGGAGGAAGGCGGUGAGGUUAAUAACCUCAUCGAUUGACGUUACCCGCAGAAGAAGCACCGGCUAACUCCGUGCCAGCAGCCGCGGUAAUACGGAGGGUGCAAGCGUUAAUCGGAAUUACUGGGCGUAAAGCGCACGCAGGCGGUCUGUCAAGUCGGAUGUGAAAUCCCCGGGCUCAACCUGGGAACUGCAUUCGAAACUGGCAGGCUAGAGUCUUGUAGAGGGGGGUAGAAUUCCAGGUGUAGCGGUGAAAUGCGUAGAGAUCUGGAGGAAUACCGGUGGCGAAGGCGGCCCCCUGGACAAAGACUGACGCUCAGGUGCGAAAGCGUGGGGAGCAAACAGGAUUAGAUACCCUGGUAGUCCACGCCGUAAACGAUGUCGAUUUGGAGGUUGUGCCCUUGAGGCGUGGCUUCCGGAGCUAACGCGUUAAAUCGACCGCCUGGGGAGUACGGCCGCAAGGUUAAAACUCAAAUGAAUUGACGGGGGCCCGCACAAGCGGUGGAGCAUGUGGUUUAAUUCGAUGCAACGCGAAGAACCUUACCUGGUCUUGACAUCCACAGAACUUUCCAGAGAUGGAUUGGUGCCUUCGGGAACUGUGAGACAGGUGCUGCAUGGCUGUCGUCAGCUCGUGUUGUGAAAUGUUGGGUUAAGUCCCGCAACGAGCGCAACCCUUAUCCUUUGUUGCCAGCGGUUCGGCCGGGAACUCAAAGGAAACUGCCAGUGAUAAACUGGAGGAAGGGGGGGGAUGACUUCAAGUCAUCAUGCCCCUUACGACCAGGGUUUACCCCGUGGCUACAAGGCCAUAACAAGAAGAAGCGACCUCCCGGGAACAA
rnacentral:rRNA from 1 species